UCAACAACAAGGUCGUCUUCUUCUUUUUCUUCUUCGUCUUUGACACGUCCGACUCCAAGAAUUGUGAUUCUACUUCCAUGUUGAAUCGGUAGAAGCUCUAAUGGGGCGGAGUGAGUCCAUGUCGUUGCGUGUGUAGGAUCUGAGAUAGGAGGAAGAGGGUUGUGCGUGCAAUUUCAAAUUAACGGCCCAAGAAGUAUCGAAAUCCUUGUGGGAACCAGUGAACAAGAAGAAGACAGUUUUGCAUCAGGUGUUGUUGAUGAGGUGAAGAAGCCGAAUAUUGUUGUUGAGGUGAAAAAGUCACCAAUUAAUUUUUCUUGGGUGGACUUUCCCUUUUUCUAUUGUUGAUGUGGAAUUAGCAUCACACGUGCCAGCUAA